AAAUCUUAAUGAAGUUGGUCAGCGGUGAAAAAGAGAGACUCAGAAGCAUCUGGGACUUCAAUGCUGAUGAAGAUGCACAAAUUCUUUCUUCUCCUGCCGAAGAAUCAGCUAUCAUUCCAAUGGCCACCUUUGAUGGCAAUGACGAUGAGAAGAUCAAAUGCAAAGUUUGCUCCACCGAGUUCUUUGAUGAUCAAGAACUUGGCAUUCAUUGGAUGGACAACCAUAAAAAGGAGGCACAAUGGCUGUUCAGAGGUUAUGCUUGUGCCAUAUGCCUGGAUUCUUUUACUAACAAAAAGAUUUUGGAAUCCCAUGUUCAGGAGAGGCACCAUGUGCAAUUUGUUGAGCAGUGCAUGCUUCUCCAGUGUAUUCCUUGCAGCAGCCAUUUUGGAAAUAGUGAGGAGUUAUGGUCGCAUGUCCUAUCAGCUCAUCUUGUUGAAUUUAGAUUGUCAAAAGUUACUCAACAACAGAAUCUUUCUGCCGCUGAGGAGUCUUCUCUAAAACAUGGGCCAGGAAAUUCAGCUUCUGCCGUCAACAACUCUGAGAAUUUAGGUGGUUUCCGGAAAUUCGUUUGCAAAUUUUGUGGAUUGAAAUUUGAUUUGCUGCCAGACCUUGGCCGCCACCAUCAAGCUGCUCAUAUGGCACCAAAUUCUGUGAGCUCUCGUCCCCAGAAGAAGGGCAUACGUUACUAUGCUUAUAGGUUAAAGUCUGGGAGACUUAGUCGUCCUAGGUUUAAGAAAGGUCUGGGACCUACAUUGCCGUAUAGGGUCA
rnacentral:lncRNA from 1 species